AUUGAACGCUGGCGGCGUGCUUUACACAUGCAAGUCGGACGAGUGGCGAACGGGUGAGUAACGCAUCGGAACGUACCGAGUAAGGGGGGAUAACUGUUCGAAAGGACAGCUAAUACCGCAUAUUAUUCGAGCGGCCGAUGUCUGAUUAGCGGGUUGGCGGGGUAAAGGCCCACCGAGGCGACGAUCAGUAGCGGGUCUGAGAGGAUGAUACGCCACACGGGGACUGAGACACGGCCCAGACUCCUACGUGAGGCAGCAGUGGGGAAUUUUGGACAAUGGGCGCAAGCCUGAUGCAGCGAUGCCGCGUGUCUUAAGAAGGCCUUCGGGUUGUAAAGGACUUUUGUCAGGGAAGCGGUACCUGCAGAAUAAGCACCGGCUAACUACGUGCCAGCAGCCGCGGUAAUAC
rnacentral:rRNA from 1 species